rnacentral:rRNA from 1 species
ACACGUAGGGGGCGAGCGUUGUUCGGAAUCAUUGGGCGUAAAGGGCGCGCAGGCGGCGAGGCAAGUCCGGUGUGAAAGUGCUCGGCUCAACCGAGUGAUGCGCUGGAAACUGCCCUGCUUGAGUACAGGAGGGGACGGCGGAAUUCCAGGGGGAGGGGUGAAAUCUGUAGAUAUCUGGAAGAACACCGGUGGCGAAGGCGGACGUCUGGCCAUGUACUGACGCUGAGGCGCGAAGGUGCGGGGAGCGAACAGGUUUAGAUACCCUGGUAGUCCGCACAGUAAACGAUGUGCACCAGGUGGCGGGGGGUAGCCCUCGGUACCGAAGCCAACGCAUUAAGUGCACCGCCUGGGGAGUAUGCUCGCAAGGGUGAAACUCAAAUGAAUUGACGGGG